rnacentral:rRNA from 1 species
ACGUGAAAUUCCGUCGGAAUCCGGGAGGACCAUCUCCCAAGGCUAAAUACUCCCUAGUGACCGAUAGUGAACCAGUACCGUGAGGGAAAGGUGAAAAGCACCCCGGAAGGGGAGUGAAACAGUUCCUGAAACCGUGUGCCUACAAGUAGUUAGAGCCCGUUAAUGGGUGAUAGCGUGCCUUUUGUAGAAUGAACCGGCGAGUUACGAUUUGUUGCAAGGUUAAGCGGAAAAAGCGGAGCCGUAGCGAAAGCGAGUCUGAAUAGGGCGCAUAAGUAACAGGUCGUAGACCCGAAACCAGGUGAUCUACCCAUGUCCAGGAUGAAGGUAAGGUAAUACUUACUGGAGGUCCGAACCCACGCACGUUGAAAAGUGCGGGGAUGAGGUGUGGGUAGCGGAGAAAUUCCAAUCGAACUUGGAGAUAGCUGGUUCUCUCCGAAAUAGCUUUAGGGCUAGCCUCGAGGUAAAGAGUCAUGGAGGUAGAGCACUGUUUGGACUAGGGGCCCUUCUCGGGUUACCGAAUUCAGAUAAACUCCGAAUGCCAUGUACUUAUACUCGGGAGUCAGACUGCGAGUGAUAAGAUCCGUAGUCGAAAGGGAAACAGCCCAGACCACCAGUUAAGGUCCCCAAAUAUAUGUUAAGUGGAAAAGGAUGUGGGGUUGCUUAGACAACCAGGAUGUUGGCUUAGAAGCAGCCACCAUUGAAAGAGUGCGUAAUAGCUCACUGGUCGAGUGACCCCGCGCCGAAAAUGUACCGGGGCUAAACAUAUUACCGAAACUGUGGAUGAACCUCUUUAGAGGUUCGUGGUAGGAGAGCGUUCUAAGGGCGGUGAAGUCAGACCGGAAGGACUGGUGGAGCGCUUAGAAGUGAGAAUGCCGGUAUGAGUAGCGAAAGAAGGGUGAGAAUCCCUUCCACCGAAUAUCUAAGGUUUCCUGAGGAAGGCUCGUCCGCUCAGGGUUAGUCGGGACCUAAGCCGAGGCCGAUAGGCGUAGGCGAUGGACAACAGGUAGAGAUUCCUGUACCAGUGCUAAUUGUUUAACCGAUG